rnacentral:misc_RNA from 1 species
GAUGAAGAACGCAGCGAAAUGCGAUACGUAAUGUGAAUUGCAGAAUUCAGUGAAUCAUCGAGUCUUUGAACGCACAUUGCGCCCCCUGGUAUUCCGGGGGGCAUGCCUGUCCGAGCGCCAUUGCUGCCCUCAAGCACGGCUUGUGUGUUGGGCCUCCGUCCUCCUCCCGGGGGACGGGCCCGAAAGGCAGCGGCGGCACCGCGUCCGGUCCUCGAGCGUAUGGGGCUUCGUCACCCGCUCUUGUAGGCCCGGCCGGCGCUUGCCGACACAUCAAUCUUUUUUCCAGGUUGACCUCGGAUCAGGUAGGGAUACCCGCUGAACUUAAGCAUAUCAAUAAGCAGAGGA